AUGUCAGUCUCUGGAAGAAUGCUUGUGGUCCCUGUACCCCAGCAACUGUUUCUUGAGUCAGGCUCCCCAAAGCCAUCCAGCAGCUGCUGCUCUGAGCUGUGUCAACUGGUCCUACAGAAACCCGUGACAGGCCCAGUGAUGUAUGGGCCUGCAAGGGAACAGCCAGGCCUUUCAUGUUCAGAACAUAUAUCCAUUGUAUCAAAUGCUCUUUUAACAGAAAGCAUUUUAGAACAGGGAAAAGAAAAGUUCACUUCUUUUGGAGCAUCACUUGAAGUCACACCCUCCCUAAAAUUCCAUACCUGAAGCAAUUAACAGAUUGAUUCUAACGCACUGAGGGAUUCGUCCUUUCUGUGUCACUGCCCUGACAGGCUCUUGCAAAUUCAGAAGGCAGCCAUCUCUCCCAGCUCCCAUCCCAUCACCUCAGCAACAGAAACCCUCGGAUGCACAGGUCACUCCGCUGUGGCUUUGACAAGACCACAUUCCCCAUGGGUGGUCUGGCUUUUACAAGUGUUUGGGCACAAAUACAUUAAUGUGGCAUUUGUUUAAGCAGUUGAUCCUUCUAGGCUUCCAUGGAAAAAUCAUCACACCGCUUUCUCUGCUUUCUAAAAUACUUUUCUUAACAUUGAGCAAAUCCAAAUACCGCACAAUUUCAUAUUUCUGUUGAUUCCCGAUUCCCAUCACCCUGCUGCCAUCCAGGCAAAAGCUUAUGCAUUGUAUUCAUGUUUUCAGCUCUGCUGUCCUCAGAGCAUCUCCAUGCUUUGCUACACUGCAACGAUAUUUAGUGUCCUGUCAGUUCCCCGGUGGCAAGGAGUGCAACCAAAUGGUUUGCUACUUAAUCGGCACAAACUGAGAGUGCUUAGAAACCAGAGACAGGAAGGGCUAUUCCUGACUCCAAUUCAAAACGCUUUCUAAAUAAGUAAAAUUGCCUUAGCCUAUUGACAAGCAAAAUGUGUUCUUAAAUUUUUGUUCUAAUUAAGAAAAAACAACAACAGUCUUUCAAAAAUCAGCUGUAUAUCUAUAUCUGCAAAUGAAGUUAGUUCAAUUUAGAUGAGACACUGGGUACUUUUUCCACAUAACAGGUUGUUCAGAGUCUCAGAAAGUAUUAAAAUAUUUUCUUCAUGAUUGGAAGGAAACAUUAUUUGCAAAAGCUGUAACCUGAAGGCGAAAAUGCCUAAUUCACUCGGAGAUUAUUAAAAAGCAGCAGGGUGUACUCAAAAUGAAAGGCCCUUAGUUCUUCAGAUUGAGGUGACUAGUUAAGGAGAGAAACAGCAGGACUUUUCAAGGGUUCUUUUUGAGGUCUGAG
rnacentral:lncRNA from 1 species